UACAUAUAACUUUUUUUUUUUUUUUUAGCUGCAACUAAAAUUAUAUUACAAAACUUUAUGGGUAUCCUGAUACAAGAUAGCAUAAGCCAAUCAGGUGAAAAUAUCUUAUUGUUUUCUUUCACGCUCUGUUUAAGAAAUUUUUCUGAGAGCAGGAAAAUAAAGAUUGAAAAAUAAAAAAUAUUUUUUUUAUUUUUGUCUAAAUAGAAAGG
rnacentral:misc_RNA from 1 species